CUGUCUGUUUUCAUCGAGAGGGGGGGGCGACAGACGCCACUACCCCGACUCCCCUCGUGGGGGGGGUCCACGCCACCUGGAAAGACUCAGAAGAGUCCCCCCGCAGGGUGAGAGCGAAAGGGCCGCGAAGCACAACGCGUAUGGACGGGAAGACCCACACGAGGCGGAGGUUCCCAAGGUCCUCCCCACACGGGAGGAAAAGCUCACGAACGUGAGAGGGGACCGAGGUCCGCUAGAGAAGUCAGACGGCUCCGAGGACGGUCAGAACCGGGCCCACCCUCGACUCCGAGCCCAAGAGAGCGGCAGGAAGGCAAUAGCCCGCCCCCGGCCACGCGGGGAAAGACGCGGAGAGGCAACACCGAAAAGCCGAGAUCGCGGGCGCUCGAGGACGCAGCGCCCCCCAGGAGCAAACGGGACCCACGAGGGUCCGCCGCGCGGGGGUCAAGCGGCCCCGACCAGCCCAAAAUUACGUCCCCUCUGACCCUUCCUUCUCCGGCGAGCGAUCGGUGGCCGCACGACAGUCAAAGGCGAAGCGCGGAGGGAAGGAAGGGCGCGAAGCCCCCCCCACGAGCCACACGAGCGCGCUCAACGCCUGGCGGAGAAGACACCUUUCGCCAACAGAACCGGAGGAGAUUCGAGAACAGAGGGACGGGGGCCCGGCGCAGGAAAAGACCCACACGAACGCGGCGGGGGGCGGCCCGCCGAGAACUCGGAACAACGGCACACACGCGACCCGCGGCCAACGCGACCAAACCGGGGAACUUUUCCCUUUCUCUCGCUCUCUCCACACAGCGAUGCGCACAGAGAUGGCUCAAUGCUCCUCCUUCGCCUCCCCAGAGCAGAGCGGGGCACCAAGGAGACAACCUCCAGUCGGUCCAGUGCAUCUCACAGGCUACUCCGAAAAAGGGGGACCACGUGAAGGCAUCGCGGGAAGGCGAUCGGCAAGGAGGGGGUGGGGUGCAGGAAAGCCGACCAGGAAACCUCACGCGAUGUAUGACCCCGGCACACACAGCUCAACCUCACCCGCAGCACCCCCACCGUUCGAGGCCGCCGCCAAAGCAGAAACACGGCCCUAGGAGCAGGCCCGGUCCACUCGACUUGGGCAGGAACCGCCACUCCCCCCUCCCCAGGCGGGGCAGCGGGAGCCAGGAACAGGCGGGUGAGCGACAGAGUCAUCAUCGCCUGCCCGACGGCCCUCCCUCGCGGGACCAGGGACACCACAUCGAUCCGAGGAGAAAUCCCCAAAGACGGGAAAGAGGGCGGGAGGGGACAGCGGCCCAACGAGCCCAAAACGGGCCGAGAGAGGAGAGGACCCAGAGCGGAACGCCACCCGGGGAAAAAAAACCAAGGGCCGACCCCAACGCCACCAAGAGGAGAGAGCGGAAGACGGGGGCCGGGCGGCAACCCGGAGGCGCCGCGCGGCCCGAGGCAACGACCACUUCCCACCAGCCGAGAGGUUCCGGAGAAGGACCGAGACCGGCAGCGGACCGCCUCACAGCACGACAACGGCCCCAAAACCAAAAGCACGGCUUGGCUUUUUCUGCACACCGGCUCGUCUUCCCCAUUCCCAACAACAGCCAGAGCACUUCUCCCCACUAGUCUGCAGGCACAAUCACCCGUUUGUUGACGAAAAAAUUACGUGCCGCACCACCGGGGGAAA
rnacentral:lncRNA from 1 species